rnacentral:rRNA from 1 species
UACGUAGGGGCCGAGCGUUGUCCGGAGUUACUGGGCGUAAAGCGCGCGCAGGCGGCUCGUCAAGCCUGACGUGAAAGCCCCCGGCUCAACCGGGGAGGGUCGUCGGGGACUGGCGAGCUUGAGGUCGGCAGGGGUUGGUGGAAUUCCCGGUGUAGUGGUGAAAUGCGUAGAGAUCGGGAGGAACACCAGUGGCGAAGGCGGCUCGCUGGGCCGGACCUGACGCUGAGACGCGAAGGCGUGGGGAGCGAACGGG